rnacentral:rRNA from 1 species
GCCAGACUCCUACGGGAGGCAGCAGUGAGGAAUAUUGGUCAAUGGUCGGGAGACUGAACCAGCCAAGCCGCGUGAGGGAGGAAGGUACAGAGUAUCGUAAACCUCUUUUGUCAGGGAACAAAGACUGGGACGCGUCCCCGGAUGAGUGUACCUGAAGAAAAAGCAUCGGCUAACUCCGUGCCAGCAGCCGCGGUAAUACGGAGGAUGCGAGCGUUAUCCGGAUUUAUUGGGUUUAAAGGGUGCGCAGGCGGAGGUGCAAGUCAGCGGUCAAAUUGCGGGGCUCAACCCCGUACUGCCGUUGAAACUGGCGUUCUUGAGUGGGCGAGAAGUAUGCGGAAUGCGUGGUGUAGCGGUGAAAUGCAUAGAUAUCACGCAGAACUCCGAUUGCGAAGGCAGCAUACCGGCGCCCAACUGACGCUGAAGCACGAAAGCGUGGGUAUCGAACAGGAUUAGAUACCCGCGUA